rnacentral:rRNA from 1 species
UACGGAGGAUGCGAGCGUUAUCCGGAUUUAUUGGGUUUAAAGGGUGCGCAGGCGGCACGGCAAGCCGGCGGUCAAAUCGCGGGGCUCAACCCCGCCCAGCCGUCGGAACUGCCGGGCUAGAGUGGGCGAGAAGUGCGCGGAAUGCGUGGUGUAGCGGUGAAAUGCAUAGAUAUCACGCAGAACUCCGAUUGCGAAGGCAGCGCACCGGCGCCCUACUGACGCUCAGGCACGAAAGCAUGGGUAGCGAACAGG